GUUUUGUGUUGGAUGAUGGCUCCGAUUUAUCGGGGAGGAAAGUCCGGACACCCCUUCGUUUCGGCGGAGGAAGUAAACAGUGGUUAACGGCCACGCUCUGGGAAAGUGAUUUCCCCGGGACAGAUAGUGCAACAGAAAAUAUACCGCUUGGUUUCGCUUCGGUGAGAUUGAGUAAGGUUGAAAACGUGAGGUAAGAGCUCACGGCUUAGCAUGGUAACAUGUUAGGUUGGUAAACCUUGUUUGGUGCAAGGCCGUGCCCUGAGUUUAUUUACAGGGAGUGCCGCUUGAGGCCUUGGAGUAAUCCUUGGCCCAGAUAAAUCAUCAUCGCCCCGAGCUUGUCGAAGGGUACAGAAUCCGGCUUAUAGGCACAGAACUAAA
rnacentral:RNase_P_RNA from 1 species